CUGCUUGAGAAAUUUCCUCUGGAGAAUAUCGAAAGGUCACGAUAUUAUUUUCCUGGAAUCGAACGAAAAAUCUAAAUGCACCUGGAUGUUAAAUAAAACGGUUCGUUUUGGAGUGGUGAGCCGAACGGCAUCUCCCUUCUCUUCUCUUCCUUCUCUUCUUUUCUCCGUUUUCGUUCUCUCUCAAUUCUCCUCCAUUCUCGUGUCAACCUUGUAAUUACUAUGGUCAUGUUGGAACCGUCCAUUUUCAUGGCAGCAACGACCGGGGGAUACAUUUCCAUUUCAAGGCCGAAGAAGUUUCUGAAGAACCUUGAAUAAGUGCUUGGGUUGACUCGAUGAGAGCUUGUUCCACUACCCGUAUCAGAACCAUCAACCAUGCCUUCUUUGGCCGACCAUGACCAGAGUUCUUGGAUUAUGAGAAAGACGAUGAGAAAACUAAAGCAACUCCAGGGGCUCAAGUGGAGCACAACAAGUUGAUCUGUGUCUCUGUUCAUUUUCGAUGGGGAUGGGAGACAGACGAAGGGGAGAAGAAGAUGAUCUGAAAACUCUUCUUUCAGGCAAUUUUUGAGCACCGAUGCGCACCGAAGUUGACAUGGUUAAUGAAACGGUGCGUGCUCGUGAGGCGGGAGACAAAAUUUGAAGGGCUUUGUGGGAAGAGUCCGAAACGGCACGUUUUGCAUUUUAAAUCCUAACUCAGUGCGUUUCAUUCUACCUUAACACCAAUUCCUUCUCCUUUCAUCGACUGCUCCUUCUCCUUCUCCUUCAUCCAUUCCCGCAACUUUCUCCUUCUUCCUCAUUCCCCGUUCGGUCAUCGUUUCCUUGUUGAAGGCGGUUCCCCAUUCCCCCCUCAGUCGGGGCUUUGGCGUGUUUUCCGUUGUCCUCACUCUGUAAGCAAGUUCAGUAACCAUCGAACAGAGAUGUUUGUCAUUGUGUUGAGCAGAACAGAGAUUGUAAAGAGGGAGUUGGGAGUCCACAACAACCAACUUGAUAUUCAAAGGCAACAAGCAGACAUCUAGUGUGAACGCACAGUUCUUCAUAUCUAUUGGGUGAUUUAUAUUUUAAUUUUGUUGUACUUGAUAGGAUCACAGUGAAUACCCACUGAUAAAGGCAGCUUGAUAUAUGGUUGAUGCAGUUGGACAAAAGCUCCAAGAAUGUCUAGACUAGAUCCGUCUGUAUGUAGUCACCAUAGUGCCAUUAGUAUGCUGCAACCCUGUGAGGUUUUCUCUCUAGUUUUGUUAGUCAUUUGAUGUUGUAAUAGAAUUAUGGAUGUAGCUGGAAACUCUGUGGAAUAGUCCACGUCCACCAGCAGGCAUAGGGCGUUGUAGAUUCUGAUGGAAGUGAGACUUUUA